ACGCAACCGUUAGGAGACUGUCUGGAGUCUGUCUCAAAUUGAUAAAAUUGGAAAUGGAGUUUUACGCGUCUCUGCGCAUCUAUAAGGAACCCGCCUGGUGGGAAAAUGGGAUCUCAGCACUCCUCCUCAGACGUCUCUUUUUCUUCAGUCGCCACGCAUUUGACGAAAUGUUUAUUUUCCUUCUUUAGAAAACAAACAAACAACCACAAAAAAAACCCUAAAGUUUUUCCCCCUAAUUCUACAUCACAUCAGCAGACAGCCAGCUCCUUGUGCACAGGGAAUAACCCUUCAGCCAUGGAGUUUAACAUGAGUGCAUCAUGCAUAAGGCAGUCUGCAGAAGCACAGAAAGACUGUAAGUCGGGUUUUUAAAGCGAAAUAUACCAGCAGCUUAGUUUUUUUGU